rnacentral:tRNA from 1 species
GAGGAUUUAGCUCAGUGGUAGAGCACUUGCCUAGCAAGCACAAGGCCCUGGGUUCCGUCCCCAGCUCU